AGCCUUAAAGUUAUUUAAACAUUUUAAUUGCAAUAAAAAAAAGAAUUUACUUCUAAGGUUA
rnacentral:tRNA from 1 species